rnacentral:rRNA from 1 species
UAGUCCACACCGUAAACGAUGAAUGCCAGACGUCGGGCAGUAUACUGUUCGGUGUCACACCUAACGGAUUAAGCAUUCCACCUGGGGAGUACGAUCGCAAGGUUGAAACUCAAAGGAAUUGACGGGGGGCCCGCACAAGCGGUGGAGCAUGUGGUUUAAUUCGAUGAUACGCGAGGAACCUUACCUGGGCUCAAACGCAUAAUGACGUAAUUGGAAACGAUUAUUUCUUCGGACAUUAUGCGAGGUGCUGCAUGGUUGUCGUCAGCUCGUGCCGUGAGGUGUCGGGUUAAGUCCCAUAACGAGCGCAACCCCUAUCCUUAGUUGCCAGCACAUCAUGGUGGGGACUCUAAGGAAACUGCCGGCGCAAGCCGCGAGGAAGGUGGGGAUGACGUCAAAUCAGCACGGGCCCUUAUGUCCAGGGGCUACACACGUGCUACAAUGGUCGGUACAGAGGGCAGCUACC